rnacentral:tRNA from 1 species
AAGGUCUGUGAAAUUNUAAUUCACAUCUCCUGAAUGCAACUCAAGCACUUUAAUUAAGCUAAAACCUC